rnacentral:rRNA from 1 species
UGGAUCCAGACUUUGAUUAUGGCUCAGGACGAACGCUGGCGGCGCGCCUAACACAUGCAAGUCGAACGGUGAUAAGCUGUUUGAAGUUUUCGGAUGGAAGACGGCAUAUCUUAGUGGCGAACGGGUGAGUAACACGUGAGCAACCUGCCUUUCAGAGGGGGACAACAUUUGGAAACGAAUGCUAAUACCGCAUAAGACCACGGUGCCGCAUGGCAGAGGGGUCAAAGGAGCAAUCCGCUGAAAGAUGGGCUCGCGUCCGAUUAGGUAGUUGGUGUGGUAACGGCACACCAAGCCGACGAUCGGUAGCCGGACUGAGAGGUUGAACGGCCACGUUGGGACUGAGACACGGCCCAGACUCCUACGGGAGGCAGCAGUGGGGAAUAUUGCACAAUGGGGGAAACCCUGAUGCAGCGACGCCGCGUGGAGGAAGAAGGUCUUCGGAUUGUAAACUCCUGUCCGAGGGUAAGAAGAAAGUGACGUAACCCUUGGAGGAAGCACCGGCUAACUACGUGCCAGCAGCCGCGGUAAAACGUAGGGUGCAAGCGUUGUCCGGAAUUACUGGGUGUAAAGGGAGCGCAGGCGGAGUGGCAAGUUGGGAGUGAAACGUGCGGGCUCAACCCGCAACCUGCUUUCAAAACUGCCAGUCUUGAGUGGUGUAGAGGUAGGCGGAAUUCCCGGUGUAGCGGUGGAAUGCGUAGAUAUCGGGAGGAACACCAGUGGCGAAGGCGGCCUACUGGGCACUAACUGACGCUGAGGCUCGAAAGCAUGGGUAGCAAACAGGAUUAGAUACCCUGGUAGUCCAUGCCGUAAACGAUGAUUACUAGGUGUGGGGGGAUAGACCCCCUCCGUGCCGCAGUUAACACAAUAAGUGAUCCACCUGGGGAGUACGACCGCAAGGUUGCAACUCAAAUG